rnacentral:rRNA from 1 species
UACGAAGGGUGCAAACGUUGCUCGGAAUUAUUGGGCGUAAAGCGCACGUAGGCGGCUCUAUAAGUUGGAUGUGAAAACCCUCGGCUCAACCAAGGAAGUGCAUCCAAAACUGCAGAGCUUGAGUACUUAAGAGGAUCGCGGAAUUCCCGGUGUAGAGGUGAAAUUCGUAGAUAUCGGGAGGAACACCAGUGGCGAAGGCGGCGAUCUGGGAAGAUACUGACGCUGAGGUGCGAAAGCGUGGGGAGCAAACAGG